rnacentral:rRNA from 1 species
UACGUAGGGGGCAAGCGUUGUCCGGAUUUAUUGGGCGUAAAGCGCGUGUAGGCGGCUAGGUAGGUCCGCUGUGAAAACCCGAGGCUCAACCUCGGGACGUCGGCGGAAACCAUUUGGCUAGAGUCCGGAAGAGGAGAGUGGAAUUCCCGGUGUAGCGGUGAAAUGCGCAGAUAUCGGGAAGAACACCAAUAGCGAAGGCAGCUCGCUGGGACGUAACUGACACUGAGGCGCGAAAGCGUGGGGAGCGAACAGG